GAUGAAGAACGUAGCGAAAUGCGAUAAGUAAUGUGAAUUGCAGAAUUCAGUGAAUCAUCGAGUCUUUGAACGCACAUUGCGCCCCCUGGUAUUCCGGGGGGCAUGCCUGUCCGAGCGUCAUUACAACCCUCAAGCUCAGCUUGGUGUUGGGCCCCGCCGCCCCGGCGGGCCCUAAAGUCAGUGGCGGUGCCGUCCGGCUCCGAGCGUAGUAAUUCUUCUCGCUCUGGAGGUCCGGUCGUGUGCUCGCCAGCAACCCCCAAUUUUUUUCAGGUUGACCUCGGAUCAGGUAGGGAUACCCGCUGAACUUAAGCAUAUCAAUAAGCGGAGGA
rnacentral:misc_RNA from 1 species